UUUAUCAGGGGCUUCUCCCUUCACUUGACACUCAAUCCUGCUGCUCUGUGAAGAAGGUGCCUGCUUUUCCUUUGCCUUCUGCCAUGAUUGUAAGGUUCCUGAGGCCUCCCCAGCAAUGUAGAACUGUGCUGCUGCUUUGGGACCACCCUGGUUCUCAAGAAAUGAAGGCUUCAGCAUGAGGAAAUACAGGAUAGGAUGGAUGAAGAAACAAAAGUCUGAAGCGUGGAGAGCCUUCUAGAGGUGGAGCUUCCUGUCUUUAG
rnacentral:lncRNA from 10 species